rnacentral:rRNA from 1 species
CCGCGGUAAUUCCAGCUCCAAUAGCGUAUACUAAAGUUGUUGCGAUUAAAAAGCUCGUAGUUGGAUCUUGGAAUGUGUUCAAGCGGGUCAGCUUCUGGCUGUGCGCUGCUUGACGUGUUCUUCUAUUUGGUUUUGGUGCGGUGCGCUUAACUGCGUGUCGCUCCCGGCCGAAACGUUUACCUUGAAAAAAUUAGAGUGUUCAAAGCAGACCUGUUUGAGUCUGAAUAUUCGUGCAUGGAAUAAUGAAAUAUGAAUUCGGUUCUAUUUUGUUGGUUUUCGGAACUCGAGUUAAUGAUCAAGAGGGACAGACGGGGGCAUUCGUACUCUGCCGUUAGAGGUGAAGUUCUUGGAUCGGCGGAAGACGCGCAACUGCGAAAGCAUUUGCCAAGAAUGUUUUCUUUAAUCAAGAACGAUAGUCGGAGGUUCGAAGACGAUCAGAUACCGUCCUAGUUUCGACUGUAAACUAUGCCAGCUAACGAUCAGACAGAGUUCUCUACGACUUGUCUGGCAGUUUCCGGGAAACCAAAGCGUUUGGGUUCCGGGGGAAGUAUGGUUGCAAAGCUGAAACUUAAAGGAAUUGACGGAAGGGCACCACCAGGAGUGGAGCCUGCGGCUUAAUUUGACUCAACACGGGGAAACUCACCCGGCCCGGACACAGUGAGGAUUGACAGAUUGAGAGUUCUUUCUUGAUUCUGUGGGUGGUGGUGCAUGGCCGUUCUUAGUUGGUGGAGCGAUUUGUCUGGUUAAUUCCGAUAACGAACGAGACUCUGGCAUGUUAAAUAGUCGCGGAAGUGCGUAUGCACUUGCCGAAUUGACUUCUUAGAGGGACUAGUGAUUUUAAUUCACACGAGAUUGAGCAAUAACAGGUCUGUGAUGC